rnacentral:rRNA from 1 species
GACGAACGCUGGCGGCGUGCUUAACACAUGCAAGUCGAACGGAAAGGCCUAGCUUGCUGGGUACUCGAGUGGCGAACGGGUGAGUAACACGUGGGUGAUCUGCCCCUGACUUUGGGAUAAGCCGGGGAAACUGGGUCUAAUACCGGAUAUUCAUUUUUCCUCGCAUGGGGAUUGGUGGAAAGCUUUUGCGGUUGGGGAUGGGCCCGCGGCCUAUCAGCUUGUUGGUGGGGUAAUGGCCUACCAAGGCGACGACGGGUAGCCGACCUGAGAGGGUGAUCGGCCACACUGGGACUGAGACACGGCCCAGACUCCUACGGGAGGCAGCAGUGGGGAAUAUUGCACAAUGGGCGCAAGCCUGAUGCAGCGACGCCGCGUGAGGGAUGACGGCCUUCGGGUUGUAAACCUCUUUCAGCUCCGACGAAGCGCAAGUGACGGUAGGAGCAGAAGAAGCACCGGCCAACUACGUG